UACGGAGGGUGCAAGCGUUGCUCGGAAUUAUUGGGCGUAAAGCGCGCGUAGGCGGCUUGGCAAGUCGGUUGUGAAAUCCCUCGGCUCAACCAAGGAAGUGCAUCCGAAACUGCCGAGCUUGAGUACUUAAGAGGAUCGCGGAAUUCCCGGUGUAGAGGUGAAAUUCGUAGAUAUCGGGAGGAACACCAGUGGCGAAGGCGGCGAUCUGGGAAGAUACUGACGCUGAGGUGCGAAAGCGUGGGGAGCAAACAGG
rnacentral:rRNA from 1 species